rnacentral:rRNA from 1 species
AUUGAACGCUGGCGGCAGGCCUAACACAUGCAAGUCGAGCGGAUGAAGGGAGCUUGCUCUUGGAUUCAGCGGCGGACGGGUGAGUAAUGCCUAGGAAUCUGCCUGGUAGUGGGGGAUAACGUCCGGAAACGGGCGCUAAUACCGCAUACGUCCUGAGGGAGAAAGUGGGGGAUCUUCGGACCUCACGCUAUCAGAUGAGCCUAGGUCGGAUUAGCUAGUUGGUGGGGUAAAGGCCUACCAAGGCGACGAUCCGUAACUGGUCUGAGAGGAUGAUCAGUCACACUGGAACUGAGACACGGUCCAGACUCCUACGGGAGGCAGCAGUGGGGAAUAUUGGACAAUGGGCGAAAGCCUGAUCCAGCCAUGCCGCGUGUGUGAAGAUGGUCUUCGGAUUGUAAAGCACUUUAAGUUGGGAGGAAGGGCAGUAAGUUAAUACCUUGCUGUUUUGACGUUACCAACAGAAUAAGCACCGGCUAACUUCGUG